rnacentral:rRNA from 1 species
GGGGCCCUAAGGGGGUGCUAUAAUGCAGUCGAGCGAACGGAUAAGGAGCUUGCUCCUGUUGAAGUUAGCGGCGGACGGGUGAGAAACACGUGGGUAACCUACCUAUAAGACUGGAAUAACUUCGGGAAACCGGAGCUAAUGCCGGAUAACAUUUGGAACCGCAUGGUUCUAAAGUAAAAGAUGGUUUUGCUAUCACUUAUAGAUGGACCCGCGCCGUAUUAGCUAGUUGGUAAGGUAACGGCUGACUGAAGUACUGCUAGCCAGACUGAGGAUGGCAUUCGGUCACGUUGUAGCUGAUCCUGCUUCUAACUUCGUACGGCAAGCCAGCAGUAUUGUAUUCUUUCGGCAAUGAAUGAAAGUUCGAUGAAGCACGCCUGCUGAGAGUGAAUGUUUUUCGGAUCGUACAUCUUCUGCUAGUGAGGCAAGAACCAGAUUGUGUAAGCUUACCUGUGCUACUUCCUGACCGGUACUUAAUCAGAAAACCACGACUUAAUUCGUGCCAGCAGCUCUGUAAUACGUAGGUGGCAAGUGUUAUUCAGGAAAUUAGUUGGCAGUAAAGCCGCGCGUAGGCGGUUUUCUUAGUUCUGAUGUGGAAAGCCCACGGCUCCACCGUGGAAGGGUCAUUGGAACUGGGAAACUUGAGUACAGAAGAGGAAAGUGGAAUUCCAUGUAGUAGCGUGAAUGCGCAGAGAUAUGGAGGAACACCAGUGGCGAAGGCGACUUUCUGGUCUGUAACUGACGCUGAUGUGCGAAAGCGUGGGGAUCAAACAGGAUUAGAUACCCCUGGUAGUCCACGCCGUAAACGAUGAGUGCUAAGUGUUAGGGGGUUUCCGCCCCUUAGUGCUGCAGCUAACGCAUUAAGCACUCCGCCUGGGGAGUACGACCGCAAGGUUGAAACUCAAAGGAAUUGACGGGGACCCGCACCAGCGGUGGAGCAUGUGGUUUAAUUCGAAGCAACGCGAAGAACCUUACCAAAUCUUGACAUCCUUUGAAAACUCUAGAGAUAGAGCCUUCCCCUUCGGGGGACAAAGUGACAGGUGGUGCAUGGUUGUCGUCAGCUCGUGUCGUGAGAUGUUGGGUUAAGUCCCGCAACGAGCGCAACCCUUAAACUUAGUUGCCAGCAUUUAGUUGGGCACUCUAGGUUGACUGCCGGUGACAAACCGGAGGAAGGUGGGGAUGACGUCAAAUCAUCAUGCCCCUUAUGAUUUGGGCUACACACGUGCUACAAUGGACAAUACAAAGGGCAGCUAAACCGCGAGGUCAUGCAAAUCCCAUAAAGUUGUUCUCAGUUCGGAUUGUAGUCUGCAACUCGACUACAUGAAGCUGGAAUCGCUAGUAAUCGUAGAUCAGCAUGCUACGGUGAAUACGUUCCCGGGUCUUGUACACACCGUCCGUCCCACCACGAGAGUUUGUAACACCCGAAGCCGGUGGAGUAACCAUUUAUGGAGCUAGCCGUCGAAGUGACAAAUUUCCACA